GGGUGUAGCUCAGUGGCAAAGUCUUGCUUGUGAUGCACAGGUCCUAGGUUUGAUCCUUAGCACCACCA
rnacentral:tRNA from 1 species